AUAGUAUUGAAGAGCCUCCCAACUCUCAAAAUCUGACAACAAUCAUACAGGAAGGGGUUACUUAGUAUGUGGUUUGACCUAUAAAACUUCAAUGCUGCUAUAUCCUCCUCCUCUCAGGCUGGUGGAAAAUAACCAACCAAUAGUACAAAUGCCAAAGCAAUUCAAACCACAAGUGACAAUUCAAGAAGAGAUGAACAUCAACAGAAGAACCAUAAGUGAAAUAACAAAAGUUAUGUGGGACUCUGGU